ensembl:miRNA
UCCACGUGUGCAAGCUCGGGGAGGGGACGGGGCGCAGAAGGCGUGACAAAGACAGACUUUGUGUCUGAGUGUACGCCUUGCUCCAGCCCGGAGCAGCCAAC